AUGAGAACUCAAUAAUUCUUCCGUAUUUGAAUUCCUCAUUAAGAGGGCUAAAAGAAGCACCCAAUAAUUCAUGGGUAACAUUCCGAAAUUCUAGAAGUCAUCCAAAAACUCCAAGUUUAAGGUAUGUGAUUUUGAACAAGAACACCCUUUUGUUCUUGUGCCCAAAAGUUUCAUAUUUUCGUAAAGUAUUUCAUAAAUUUCUGAAGAAUUCCUAUCAUGUUACUAU
rnacentral:lncRNA from 1 species